UGAUAUUUCAGCUGUUUUCUUUUACUUUAUUCUCAUGCCAGUCAUUUCUUGUUUAUUCUUGGAGGACUCCUAAUGAUGGAUGGUGCAUUUUCUCUUUCUAUAGCCUGUUUAAGGGCAAUCAAUCUGAAAUACAUGUAAGGAUUUCAAUGAAAUUUAUUUUACCAGUUCAGCAAAGGAAGGAGAAGAUUAGAGCUGCAUUUUCUACCUAAAAACUCUUACUUUGUUCUAUCUAAAACCCCAAGAGGCAUUAAAACUUUUUUCUUAAUAG